rnacentral:rRNA from 1 species
AUUGAACGCUGGCGGCAUGCUUUACACAUGCAAGUCGAACGGCAGCGCGGGGGCAACCCUGGCGGCGAGUGGCGAACGGGUGAGUAAUAUAUCGGAACGUACCCAGAAGUGGGGGAUAACGUAGCGAAAGUUACGCUAAUACCGCAUACGAUCUACGGAUGAAAGUGGGGGACCUUCGGGCCUCAUGCUUUUGGAGCGGCCGAUAUCUGAUUAGCUAGUUGGUGAGGUAAAGGCUCACCAAGGCGACGAUCAGUAGCUGGUCUGAGAGGACGACCAGCCACACUGGAACUGAGACACGGUCCAGACUCCUACGGGAGGCAGCAGGUGGGGUAAUUUUGGACAAGUGGGGGGCAACCCUGAUCCAGCAAUGCCGCGUGAGUGAAGAAGGCCUUGGUGUAAG